CUAAGCAUAUCAAUAAGCGGAGGAAAAGAAACCAACAGGGAUUGCCUCAGUAACGGCGAGUGAAGCGGCAACAGCUCAAAUUUGAAAUCUGGCCCCAGGCCCGAGUUGUAAUUUGCAGAGGAUGCUUUUGGUGAGGUGCUUUCCGAGUUCCCUGGAACGGGACGCCAUAGAGGGUGAGAGCCCCGUACGGUUGGACACCGAGCCUUUGUAAAGCUCCUUCGACGAGUCGAGUAGUUUGGGAAUGCUGCUCAAAAUGGGAGGUAUAUUUCUUCUAAAGCUAAAUAUUGGCCAGAGACCGAUAGCGCACAAGUAGAGUGAUCGAAAGAUGAAAAGCACUUUGAAAAGAGGGUUAAACAGCACGUGAAAUUGUUAAAAGGGAAGCGCUUAUGACCAGACUUGCGCCCGGUGAAUCACCCAGCUCUCGCGGCUGGGGCACUUUGCCGGCUCAGGCCAGCAUCAGCUUGCUGUCGGGGACAAAAGCUUCGGGAACGUAGCUCUCUUCGGGGAGUGUUAUAGCCCGUUGCACAAUACCCUUCGGCGGGCUGAGGUACGCGCUCCGCAAGGAUGCUGGCGUAAUGGUCAUCAGCGACCCGUCUUGAAACACGGACCAAGGAGUCAACCUUAUGUGCGAGUGUUUGGGUGUUAAACCCCUACGCGUAAUGAAAGUGAACGCAGGUGAGAGCUUCGGCGCAUCAUCGACCGAUCCUGAUGUUCUCGGAUGGAUUUGAGUAAGAGCAUAUAGGGUUGGACCCGAAAGAAGGUGAACUAUGCGUGUAUAGGGUGAAGCCAGAGGAAACUCUGGUGGAGGCUCGCAGCGGUUCUGACGUGCAAAUCGAUCGUCAAAUAUGCGCAUGGGGGCGAAAGACUU
rnacentral:rRNA from 2 species